UAUAAAACAUGUCUUUAUGGACAGGUAGAAGGUAUCCUGGGACAGAGACAGAGGAGGGGACAUUAUAAAACAUGUCUUUAUGGACCGGUAGAAGGUAUCCUGAGACAGAGACAGAGACGGGGACGUUAUAAAACAUGUCUUUGUGGACCGGUAGAAGGUAUCCUGAGACAGAGACAGAGGAGGGGACAU